UCAUUAUCGUACCACGAAGGCACCGGGGCUGUCGCUAACUUUUCAAAGUCGUGCACGCCCAAGUGCUCUCGCACACGUCCAUCUCACCCCUUGUGCAUUGCUGCGUUGGGCUCCCUUCAAAGGGGGUCUUGCGUUUUAACACACAGACACCAGUAUAGAAUGUCCUUCUUUGUGCGAUCGUGCGCAAUCAAUACAACUUUCAACAACGGAUCUCUUGGCUCUCGCAUCGAUGAAGAACGCAGCGAAAUGCGAUACGUAAUGUGAAUUGCAGAAUUCAGUGAAUCAUCGAAUCUUUGAACGCACCUUGCGCCCCUUGGCAUUCCGAGGGGCACACCCGUUUGAGUGUCGUGAACGUCCUCAACCUUCUUGGUUUCUUGACCGAGAAGGCUUGGAAUUUGGAGGUUUUUGCUGGCCUCCCUGGAAGCCAGCUCCUCUUAAACGAAUUAGUGGGGUCCGCUUUGCUUCGAUCCUUGACGUGAUAAGAUGCUUCUACGUCUCGGUCCUUGCUCGGGAACCCGCUUCUAACCGUCUCUUAGGAGACUCUUUACACAACCUUGACCUC
rnacentral:rRNA from 1 species